CAUUAAUGGACCUUUAGUUACUAGAGUAUUCGUAGCAAAUCUUGACUACAAAGUGGAUGAACAGAAAUUAUUAGAAGUGUUUAAAUUAGCUGGUAAAGUACUACAUGUUGAAUUAG